UUAGAAUGACCAGGUAGAACCAGUGGGUGGAGUUAGAAUGACCAGGUAGAACCAGUGGGUGGAGUUAGAAUGACCAGGUAGAACCAGGGGGACAGUUAUGACCAGGUAGAACCAGUGGGUGGAGUUAGAAUGACCAGGUAGAACCAGGGGGACAGUUAUGACCAGGUAGAACCAGUGGGUGGAGUUAGAAUGACCAGGUAGAACCAGGGGGACAGUUAUGACCAGGUAGAACCAGUGGGUGGAGUUAGAAUGACCAGGUAGAACCAGGGGGACAGUUAUGACCAGGUAGAACCAGGGGGACAGUUAUGACCAGAUAGAACCAGUGGGUGGAGUUAGAAUGACCAGGUAGAACCAGGGGGACAGUUAUGACCAGGUAGAACCAGGGGGACAGUUAUGACCAGGUAGAACCAGGGGGACAGUUAUGACCAGGUAGAACCAGUGGGUGGAGUUAGAAUGACCAGGUAGAACCAGGGGGACAGUUAUGACCAGGUAGAACCAGUGGGUGGAGUUAGAAUGACCAGGUAGAACCAGGGGGACAGUUAUGACCAGGUAGAACCAGGGGGACAGUUAUGACCAGGUAGAACCAGGGGGACAGUUAUGACCAAGUAGAACCAGUGGGUGGAGUUAGAAUGACCAGGUAGAACCAGGGGGACAGUUAUGACCAGGUAGAACCAGGGGGACAGUUAUGACCAGGUAGAACCAGUGGGUGGAGUUAGAAUGACCAGGUAGAACCAGGGGGACAGUUAUGACCAGGUAGAAGCAGUGGGUGGAGUUAGAAUGACCAGGUAGAACCAGGGGGACAGUUAUGACCAGGUAGAACCAGUGGGUGGAGUUAGAAUGACCAGGUAGAACCAGGGGGACAGUUAUGACCAGGUAGAACCAGGGGGACAGUUAUGACCAG